UGUCUACCAAUAAGGAAAUAUCUCCAUU
rnacentral:sRNA from 1 species